GCCGGGCUGGUCUUCAGGCCCCUCGUCAAAGGGUCACGGACGACUGGCUCCGGUCAGCGUCAAAGGUCUGGAUCUGAGCCUUGAGGUGGGAGAGCUUCCUCCUCAGGUAGUCCUUGACCUACGACCCCAACUCAUCCCAAAAUUUAUGUUGCUCAGCAAGAGUGUCAUUAAGUGAGUUUUGCCCCAUUUUACAACCUUUCUUGCCAUGGCUGCCUGCAGUUGUUCAGUUAGCAACAUGGUUGUUGAGUGAAUCUGGCUUCUCCAUUGCUAGUCAGAGGGUCACAAAAGGGGAUCAGGUGACCCCGGGAACGUUGCAACCGUCAUAAAUGUGAGUCGAUUGCCGAGUGUCUAAAUUUGGAUCACGUGACCACAGGGAGGCUGCAGUGGUCGUAAGUGCGAAAAACGGUCAUAACUGCCUUUUUUCAACACCGCUGUAACUUUGAAUGAUCACUAAACAAAUGUUUGUAAGGAU